CCUCCUCUUGACAUGCAGAACAAACAGAAGAGGCAAGAAGCCAGAGCACUGUACCUCCUCUGAGGUCCAAGUCCGAGGCUGCAGUGACACGACAGGAGGAAGGAAGCAGAGAGUCAUUCCCCUGAGUCAGGCGGGGCUUGUCCCGCGCUAACUAGGCUUCUUUCUCCCUCUCCAAGCGCUUUGGUAACAGAGCUGGAUCCCGCCAUCCUACCCCCAGAGGAGCCCAGGAGUAAACAGGCUGGGUUCCCACCGCGUAGGGGAUCCAGAAUCCCCACUGUAGACGCCGUCUCCGGGAACGCGAGAGCCCCCACCCCGCCCCAACCCCAACCCCAACCCCAACCUCACUGACUGGAGGAGACCUGUUCUUUCUGACAAAAGGGGAUCUGGAUUAUCCUCAGAAGGUCUGUUGGAGGAGGACGGUAAAGGCGAAUCAACAGAGGUGUUACCAGGAAUGUCCUGAAGAUUCCGAUAAAAAUAUGCCCAGAAACCUAAGGGCCCAGACUUAUUGCUGAUACUGUGUAAGUACCAGAUUUCACCCAUUAUUUGAAUCAGAUAAAUGCAUCUUUCCAUUGGCAAGUUUUGCUCUACUCUUAGA